rnacentral:rRNA from 1 species
AUUGAACGCUGGCGGCAGGCCUAACACAUGCAAGUCGAGCGAGCGGCGGACGGGUGAGUAAUGUAUGGGGACUCCCCGAUAGAGGGGGAUAACUACUGGAAAAGGUAGCUAAUACCGCAUAUUAUCUGAUUAUCCAUAUGGGAGUAGCUAGUAGGUGAGGUAAUGGCUCACCUAGGCGACGAUCCCUAGCUGGUCUGAGAGGAUGAUCAGCCACACUGGGACUGAGACACGGCCCAGACUCCUACGGAGGCAGCAGUGGGGAAUAUUGCACAAUGGGCGAAAGCCUGAUGCAGCCAUGCCGCGUGUAUGAAGAAGGCCCUAGGGUUGUAAAGUACUUUCAGUCGGGAGGCGUUACCGACAGAAGAAGCACCGGCUAACUCCGUGCCAGCAGCCGCGGUAAUAC